CAUACCGAAAGGUAUGCUAAUACGAGAUAACAUGUAAUGAUCGCAUGGUCGAUACAUAAAAGCUCCGGCGGUACAGGAUGGACCCGCGUCUGAUUAGCUAGUUGGUGAGGUAAUGGCUCACCAAGGCGACGAUCAGUAGCCGACCUGAGAGGGUGAUCGGCCACAUUGGAACUGAGACACGGUCCAAACUCCUACGGGAGGCAGCAGUGGGGAAUAUUGCACAGUGGGCGAAAGCCUGAUGCAGCAACGCCGCGU
rnacentral:rRNA from 1 species